CAGUGCUGCUCGUAACAUGACAACAGUUUGUGUCAUCGCUUGAAAUCCCGAGCCUGUGGGCAGAAUCUCUCAUCCAAGUGCGAGUUUUCAUCAUGCGUGCUGUUCUUCAUGGUGUUGUUUAUAAACAUCCACAGACCAUGAGUAUCCUACGAUCAUUGUUGGAUUUGGAUCUGGGGGGGGUUGUCCUGUCCACGUUCCCCUAACACCUAAUUAAACGCACCCAGCGGCGGAAGGGGCAGGAACCAGAACGGAGCUGGGGUUAGCUGGUCAGGGGCCGGGACAGUAAGCGGUGGCCUGCGUGAGCUGGAGCAUGGGGGCCAUAAAUCCUUCACCUCUUCAUCCCUGCUGGAGCUCCAUGCAUGAGCUGGGCACUUUCUGGAGUUUGCAGUGCAGAACAAGCUUCCAGGCAAGUUCAUCCCUCACUGAGUGAAGAUUUGCCCAGCCAGCCACCAGACUCUGGGGCCUGGCCACUGUGAUCGCAAACAAAACAAGAGCCAGAGUUUGGUUGGCCUCUCUGUAUUUUUUUUUUAUAUAUAUAUACAAUGUGGAGGUUGGUCUCCGUGUUAGCAUACAGAUAAUAUAAUAAUAAUUAUCCAUCCAUCCAUCCAUCCAUCCAGAGGGUUUUGCCACAUUUAUUUACUUUAUUACACAUCUUGAGAAUUCUCAUCUUGAGAUGAGAAUUGCUCAGCUAAUUACUCAAGGCUUUUGACUAUUGACUAUUUAGAUUGUCAAAGGCAGCAGAAAGGGAAAAAGGAGUUAAAUUUAAAAAAUAUUAGCAGAAACAAUGUUUCUUGCAAAAAGGUCAGAUUUUGCAGAAUACACAUCUGAUUUUGAAUAAUUGUCAAUGGAGAAAGAUGCAUUUGAGAGCUAUUCAAAUUUUGAGUAACAUUUUGAGUUUAUGGUGUUCUUGUUGGUUGUUAUGGUGCUUAUGCAGUUCACACGGGUUCGAACUGACUUGCAACAUGUUCCGAUCCUUACACCCCAUUAUAUCCCUGUCAGUCUGAGUUGCAUUUGUUUAACAACAUCAAAAGAUAAAAUACAAGGUGUUAUUUUCUUCAGCAUUAAAUCUAAUUGUUCUGUACUUUCUUUACUGUUUAUUGACAUUUCAAAAUCCCAAAUGGUGAAUUCUGAAGUUUUUCCUCUUGUUAAAAAGUUAAUAUUAAAAAUGCACUCAAGAAUAGUAUUGAUUUAUUAUCUGACAUUAAAGCAGGAUGAAUUU